AUACGGAGGGUGCAAGCGUUACUCGGAAUCACUGGGCGUAAAGCGCGCGCAGGCGGCUUGAUAAGUUGGAUGUGAAAGCCUACGGCUCAACCGUAGAACUGCAUCCAAAACUAUUAGACUAGAGUGUGGGAGAGGAAGAUGGAAUUAGUUGUGUAGGGGUAAAAUCCGUAGAGAUAACUAGGAAUACCAAAAGCGAAGGCAAUCUUCUGGAACACUACUGACGCUGAGGCGCGAAAGCGUGGGGAGCAAACAGGAUUAGAUACCCUAGUAGUCC
rnacentral:rRNA from 1 species